GGGUGCCAUAACCUUCUCCCGGCAGGUCCUCUUCCCUUAAGAGUCAUGUGUGAGAGUAAAGCAUUGAUGUCUAUGGAGGAGACCAUGGGAUUCUCCAUAGAUAAAGCCAAUCCCCUGCACGGUCACUGGUGGAGACUGGGGCAAUUGGCACUUCUAGAGGGUGGUACUUCCGCCCAGUGUCUAGAAAUGUCAGGAUUAGGAAUAAUACAGAGACAAAGUAGUCCCUACGUUGUCUCAGUAUAGCUCUUGACUGGGUUGGAG